CCCUUAGAUGUUCUGGGCUGCACGCGCGCUACACUGAAGCUAUCAACACGUUUUCUCUCCCUGAGAAGGGCGGGUAACCUUUUGAAUCAGCUUCGUGGUAGGGAUCGGGGCUUGCAAUUGUUCCCCGUGAACCAGGAAUUCCUAGUAGACGCGAGUCAUAAGCUCGCAUCGAUUAAGUCCCUGCCCUUUGUACACACCGCCCGUCGCUACUACCGAUUGAACGUUUUAGUGAGGCAUUUGGACCGACGCAUCUCAGUUUAACCGCUGGUUUGUGUUGGAAAGACUUCCAAACUUGAGCGUUUAGAGGAAGUAAAAGUCGUAACA
rnacentral:rRNA from 1 species